ACAUGCCGUGGACUACAUUUUUGGAAAAGGAGUGAGAUUGUUGCUGUGGGGCUCUGUCUGUACCAGAAGCUGCUGCUGAGAGCCUGCAAGGGCUUUAAUCAAGCAGGAAGCCUCAGAGGCUGUUGGUGGUUUCAUUGGACUCAGAGCAGAGACUGUUGCUGUGCCUAGAGCUGACGGAGGUGGGCCUGCAGUGAAGGAACUGAGUAAAGAGACUGCAGCAGAGGGGUGAAUAGAGAGGAUUUCCAUCUCUCCAUCCAACAGCACCAUGGGGAUACUCAGGAUCUUCUUUAAUGUCAACAACAUCAGGCAUCCAGGCACACAGAUGGGAACUGAAGCACGGAGAGACUACAUGACUUUCCCAAGAUGAUACACUAUAUUUGUGACAGAACCAGCAGCAAGCCCAGAUCUUCUGAGCCUCAGUCCAAUGCCUUUACCAACUGCAAGACCAUCCUUCCUAGACCAUCCCAGGAAGGAGGACAACAGGAGAUGUCAUUUCCUGAAGCCUCAGACAAGGAACAGCCAAAUCACAUUACCAGCGCUUAAGCAGCUGAAGUGGCCACUUCCACUAUUAUGCCUCCAGAAGGUGAGACAGAUUUGUCCCUUUGUAUCUGCCAGGGCCACCAGGCUUAAGAUUUGCCCCUCUGUGCCUUCUUUCAUACCAUCCCUUAUACUUCAAAAAAACACCCAGUUACAGUUUGCCAAGUACCCUCUAUCUCUUCUUUCAAAAAUCAAUAAAGACCAAUCUAUUCUAUGAGGCAUUCCAC